rnacentral:misc_RNA from 1 species
UCUCCGUAGGUGAACCUGCGGAGGGAUCAUUAUCAGUGAUGGGGGGCGUCCGCGCUCCCGUCCUCAACCCUUUGUUGACCAAACCACUUUUGCCUCGGGGGCAGAGCGGCCUCCGCCGCCCCCGGUGGACCAUUCAACCCUGUCUCUGUACGUCGGAGUCUUUGAUGAAUAAAUGAAAACUUUUAACAACGGAUCUCUUGGUUCUGGCAUCGAUGAAGAACGCAGC